UGUCAAGAUGAUGAUGAUGUUGCCUCUUACGUGCUUGCUGGUUUGGACGACGAAUACAAUGGCUUUGUGGCAGCCACGACGGCCUUGAUCAAGGCUCAUCAGACCGUGAGUCUUGGUGAUCUUUACUCGCAGUUUCUUGC